CCCCCCCCCCCCCCCCCCCCACAUCUCUGUGUCCUUAGUUAGGCAGUGCACUUUUGCUCUGUGUCUCCAGUUGCUAAUGUUACUACCAGGUCAGAGGUUAAUGUAAUGAUUGGCAUUUAUGUGCUAUUUUUCUCAGUAUUUUGGGGGAUGAGUGUAUGUUACAUAAAUCUCUUUAAAAAUCCUACAUUUUCAGCUUUGCCAAGGCUACAAUAAUCAUUGUACUACUUACCACUUCUUAUUUUUAGUAGUGAAAUGGUCAUAGUUGUGGUAAAUGCUAUAUCCUCAUGCCAAGACAAAUGACAGUGUUCUCAUCUUUUUUUCUCUCUUUUUCUUUUCUUUUCUCUUCUUUUCUCUUCUGUCAAGGAGCCAUAUUUAGCAAAUUGUUUGAACAUUACAACUCAAAUAAGGUUUUACUUUUAUAGGGUUUACCUUGUCUGGUAAGGUGUACUACUUUCUGGGGAUUUCAGCUUCUAGAGAAUGUUUCAGGCUCUAAACAUGACAAAAUAAAAACAUAUUUUCUAUAUCUUGAGAAUACUGAAACUCUCCAACAAUCCUAAAAUAAUUGUUGCACCUCAUAUUUUCAAGUAACUGGCAGGAACAGUAAUCUUCUGCAGCUUAGUACACUCUAUUAAAAAUGAGUAAUAUACAUAUUGAUCAUAAUGCUUCUCUUAGCUGAUGAGGCAUCUCUUGGGGAUGAAACCACAGUACCAUAUGGCUUUAAUGUACUUGAUAUAGUUCUCUAAAUAACUGCUAUAAAUUAUAUUUCAGAAUUAUGCUGGACAGCAAUUGAGUUUGUCUUCCAAACUGUCAAUAAUAUAUUAUGAAUAUAGCUGACAGAAGACAUGAUGGCCUUCUAAAAUGUAGACCUAGAGGGAAUAUUGCAGAGACCUAACCAUCAAGUUCAGAAUGUGUACAAUAUCUGGACCUAAAUAUUAGUUUCUGGCAAGACAGACAGCCUUUACUCCUUCAAGAGUGUGGCUGGAGUUGAUAUCACAACCAUUCUGUGUUCCAUGGUUGGACUGACUGCAAAAUUCCAGG